AGGAACAUAGCAUAGUGGCCUAAUGCACACGGCUGAUAACCGUGAGAUCGUCAGUUCAAAUCUGACUGUUCCUA
rnacentral:tRNA from 1 species